GACGAACGCUGGCGGCGUGCUUAACACAUGCAAGUCGAACGAUGAAGCCCAGCUUGCUGGGUGGAAGAGUGGCGAACGGGUGAGUAACACGUGAGCAACCUGCCCUUCACUCUGGGAUAAGCACUGGAAACGGUGUCUAAUACUGGAUAUGCACAAUGGCCGCAUGGUCUGUUGUGGGAAAGAUUUAUCGGUGAAGGAUGGGCUCGCGGCCUAUCAGCUUGUUGGUGAGGUAGUGGCUCACCAAGGCGACGACGGGUAGCCGGCCUGAGAGGGUGACCGGCCACACUGGGACUGAGACACGGCCCAGACUCCUACGGGAGGCAGCAGUGGGGAAUAUUGCACAAUGGGCGCAAGCCUGAUGCAGCAACGCCGCGUGAGGGAUGACGGCCUUCGGGUUGUAAACCUCUUUUAGUAGGGAAGAAGCGAAAGUGACGGUACCUGCAGAAAAAGCACCGGCUAACUACGUGCCAGCAGCCGCGGUAAUACGUAGGGUGCAAGCGUUGUCCGGAAUUAUUGGGCGUAAAGAGCUCGUAGGCGGCUUGUCGCGUCUGCUGUGAAAACCCGAGGCUCAACCUCGGGCCUGCAGUGGGUACGGGCAGGCUAGAGUGCGGUAGGGGAGAUUGGAAUUCCUGGUGUAGCGGUGGAAUGCGCAGAUAUCAUGAGGAACACCGAUGGCGAAAGCAGAUCUCUGGGCCGUAACUGACGCUGAGGAGCGAAAGCACGGGGAGCGAACAGGAUAAGAUACUCCUGGUUAGUCCAUGCCGUAAAACGCAGGGGAACUAGAUGUAGGGCCUGUUCCACGGUUUCUGUGUCGUAGCUAACGCAUUAAGUUCCCCCGCCUGGGGAGUACGGCCGCAAGGCUAAAACUCAAAGGAAUUGGCGGGGGCCCGCACAAGCGGCGGAGCAUGCGGAUUAAUUCGAUGCAACGCGAAGAACCUUACCAAGGCUUGACAUAUACGAGAACGCUGUAGAGAUACAGAAUUCUUUGGACACUCGUAAACAGGUGGUGCAUGGUUGUCGUCAGCUCGUGUCGUGAGAAGUUCGGUUAAGUCCGGCAACGAGCGCAACCCUCGUCCUAUGUUGCCAGCACGUUAUGGUGGGAACUCAUGGGAUACUGCCGUGGUCAACACGGAGGAAGGUGGGGAUGACGUCAAAUCAUCAUGCCCCUUAUGUCUUGGGCUUCACGCAUGCUACAAUGGCCGAUACAAAGGGCUGCGAUACCGCGAGGUGGAGCGAAUCCCAAAAAGUCGGUCUCAGUUCGGAUUGGGGUCUGCAACUCGACCCCAUGAAGUCGGAGUCGCUAGUAAUCGCAGAUCAGCAACGCUGCGGUCCACAAAGGCCCGGUCCU
rnacentral:rRNA from 1 species